UACAGAGGUGGCAAGCGUUGUUCGGAAUUACUGGGCGUAAAGGGCGUGCAGGCGGUUUGUUAAGUGCAGGGUGAAAGCUCCCGGCUCAACUGGGAGAGGUCCUUGCAUACUGGCAAACUCGAGGGAGGCAGAGGAAAGUGGAAUUCCCGGUGUAGUGGUGAUAUGCGUAGAUAUCGGGAGGAACACCUGUGGCGAAGGCGGCUUUCUGGGCCUUACCUGACGCUGAGACGCGAAAGCGUGGGGGAGCGAACC
rnacentral:rRNA from 1 species